rnacentral:rRNA from 1 species
GAUGAACGCUGGCGGCGUGCCUAAUACAUGCAAGUCGAGCGAACAGACGAGGAGCUUGCUCCUCUGACGUUAGCGGCGGACGGGUGAGUAACACGUGGAUAACCUACCUAUAAGACUGGGAUAACUUCGGGAAACCGGAGCUAAUACCGGGUAAUAUAUUGAACCGCAUGGUUCAAUAGUGAAAGACGGUUUUGCUGUCACUUAUAGAUGGGUCCGCGCCGCAUUAGCUAGUUGGUAAGGUAACGGCUUACCAAGGCGACGAUGCGUAGCCGACCUGAGAGGGUGAUCGGCCACACUGGAACUGAGACACGGUCCAGACUCCUACGGGAGGCAGCAGUAGGGAAUCUUCCGCAAUGGGCGAAAGCCUGACGGAGCAACGCCGCGUGAGUGAUGAAGGUCUUCGGAUCGUAAAACUCUGUUAUUAGGGAAGAACAAAUGUGUAAGUAACUAUGCACGUCUUGACGGUACCUAAUCAGAAAGCCACGGCUAACUACGUG